rnacentral:rRNA from 1 species
UACGUAGGGUGCAAGCGUUGUCCGGAAUUAUUGGGCGUAAAGAGCUCGUAGGCGGUUUGUCGCGUCUGCUGUGAAAACCUAGGGCUUAACCCUGGGCCUGCAGUGGGUACGGGCAGACUAGAGUGCGGUAGGGGAGACUGGAAUUCCUGGUGUAGCGGUGAAAUGCGCAGAUAUCAGGAGGAACACCGGUGGCGAAGGCGGGUCUCUGGGCCGUAACUGACGCUGAGGAGCGAAAGCGCGGGGAGCGAACGGG